AUUCAUUCUGGUUCCAUUGACCACAUUUACUUUGGCUGCCUGUGCUUCUGUAUUUAAGGGUUUCACCAAGAAAUUUCAGUGAAACUCAAAUAGAAAAUGGAAACUUGGCUACUGCUGCAACGACUGGCAUCCCUGAGAGCAGCAACAAAAUUCCAAAAGCCUGUGAAACAAAUGAAGAAAAGUUAAAACCACCCACACCAGCAAAAUAUAUUGGCAGCUGUCAGUCUAAAAGCAUGUCUGAAGGAACAAACAUCAAGGUUGGAAGAACAGCAUCAGACACAAUCUUUCACUCAAUGAUUGCUUUAUCAAAGUGGGAAGGUGUGAAGAUGGCAAAGGAAAUUACUGGAGCAUCCAUCCAACAAGCAUAAAUGAUUUUAAGCACGGUGACUUUAGGCAACACUGCUGACUGCACACAUGGGGCCCCCAAAAGGAAUAUGAGCCAUGCCUCAGAACGACUUACCUUACACCCUGAGGAAACUGCUCUGGUUUGACACAGUUCACUUUAUCAAAUGAAUUUCUACUAUCCAGAUUCCUUGAGGGAAAUUCUUUUUUCUCAUGGUCAAUAUUUUGCAAAUGAUUGCCAAAAGUGGGAGGCUACAUCUGGGGUUUCCCUCAGGAAGUUUUCAUCUCUGAGAAAAUCUGUCAAAGCAAAGUGGAACCCCAUGGAUUGAUUUUAUGGACUGCACUCUUCUUCCACUGCACAGCAGAGAAUGCUUUUUAAUGUUCAACAGACUUUUUCUGCUUCCCUUCAUUUCCCUGCUUUCAACCAGCAGAAAAGAGCAGCAUUUAGCUAUAUCUGUGAGAACCUGAAAGGACGUCACUUGCACCUGGACUGGACCAGCUCAGCUGGACAUGCUAUUCCUGAGGAUCAAUGCAUGCAGUAAUGGACAAUAUGAAAGAUAUCUAUCGCGAAAGACAAUUACAUAAUACUGGAGCGGAGUAGGAAGUGAGUCUUAUUGAUUUUAACAGAAAUCAUCACAAAUUAAGAGUGCUUAGGGUCAAGUUUGAGAUUGUGCUGUAAAUCUGUAAGAUGAUACCACUUAUUGUCACCACUGUUGCUUGUAGAAGUUUCUAGCUUAUGGUUUUUACAGAGUAGAUAUUAUUCUCAUAUUCCAAAAAUACAGUUGCAAAUGAGUCAGGCAACAAAUUCUAUAAUGCUGCAUGUAAUCACAUACCAUACAUCUAAGACAUAGUUCAGAAAUUGUAAAGCAAACCUAAGAUCAUUCUUUUUAACAAUAAUAACAAACAGCUACUCUUCCAAAAGCUUAAGACUGUUAGUGCUGAAUAGCUGCAUUGUCUAAGAAGUAUUCUGGUCUUAUUGAGGGUUUUAGUUUUGUUUUUAAAGGAAUAAUUACUGCUGAUGUAAUUUGAACUGAAAAUAUGACAGGCAACAUUUCUAUA